AUUACAGCAAACUUUGAUGGCGACGCAUU
rnacentral:sRNA from 1 species